ensembl:lncRNA
UUUUAUUUCAUUUUUUCACUAUUUGCACCCUUCUUUCUUUGCAUCGUAAAUACAAAAUAUUGACAACUAUUUAUGUAAAAUACUGCUCUUUUUGAGUCAGGAAAUCUGCUCCCUAUGAGGAAAGCCAUAAAGUUGCUGUCAGUGCUGUCGCUCCAGUUGCGACUGUCCAGCGGUUGUAAGACACUGCAUCUGGCUCUACUUAUCUUUUUAGUAGAUUACACUAAAGUGAAUCCUUAAGGCUAAACCCUCUAAUUUACUGAAACACAUGCACAUAAAAUUACAGCUGUCUCGCAAAAGCUUUCAUUGAUUUGAACAGAGCUGGGAUUCAUUUAAGUGGUUAUAAAACUUAGAUAAGCAAACUUCUUUCAAAACCAGCAGGAAAAAAAAAAACGCAACAGCAAAAUACCAAAACCCAAACACCCCCAACCUGCCAAACAGAGCUAAUUACUGGUUUAUUGAUUGGCACCUUAUUCUUCACCUCUGUGUCCGCUGACACCAUUUCUCCUGCGUUCCUUGGCUCCAUGUGCACGUUGGUCCCACACAGAGGGAAGAAUUUGGCAGGAAAAUAGGGCGUUUGUUGAGGUAAAAACACAGUUUUGCUCUCAAAAGCAAAUACGUGUAUUGUGUAAUGUUCAUCUCUCUGAAAGUCAACUGCCUAAAAUUUGGACAUCUGAAGGCAAGGCAGUCCCAGAUUGUCUGCUAAGGACAAAGAGAACCUAUAGAAAAAGAAAGAUGAUUAUUUUCAGGCAUCUUAAAUCAUCUAAAGCUGUAGGACGUACCGUACCCUUCUGUGCACCUCUGGGGACCAAUGUAAAACACUGCGGAGAUGGGGAGUGAGUUUCCUGUAGAGACUCAGACAGAUGUGCCCAGCUGUCCUCCCAGGGCUGUUUCAUAGUGCCGGCCUCACCCUGUUGCGUUGCCCAGCUCAGGGCAUUCAUUGCACCUCUGAAGUUGGUUACAUGACAGUAAUUUCAUUACUGUAAGACAGCUUGGGGUGUUUCAAAACAGCCCUUAGGGCUUUGCUCUGAACUUUGUUGUCUGCAUCAGAAGUGUUUGAGAAAGCCACUGAAAUCGCAGAGAGAAAAUGCAUCUAUUGGUUUUCUACAGAGAUGGUAACGUGUUGGCAGAAGGUGGUGCUGUUACCUGAUGUUGCCGCAGAUAACUGCCAUGUCAUGGAACAAAACCCAUGACUUGAAAAAAGGUAUUUUCUUCCCACAGCCAUAGGUGUGCUACAUAAAUAGAUACAGAUGAGGUUUCCCAGUCCCUGAGAUAUAAUGAAGUGUUCUUCGUUAGAAGUCAGGCACCCGGGCCAACAUUUCUUCCAACAGAAAGCAGGAUAUUGGGUGAAUAGUGCUCACAGAGAAAUAAUUGCCACUGCAUGAUGGCUUUCCAAUGGGGUGGCCGAUUUCACCCAGAAGCACAGGGUCCCAUGGGCUGGGUGUCAUAACAGCAGAAAGCAAAAGAUGUGUGAUAUAAGGGAUGGCUGGAAGUUCCAGAAUGCCUUUUGAGAGCCGUAUGCCUUCACACCCAGAGGUCAGGAGAGAACCCAGAGGGAGGUUUGGUUUGGAAAAAGCUCUUCUGAUUUCUAUCUUCUGCGAGCUUAACGCGGUCAGGUGGCACGUUGUGCUGGGUUGGGUGUAUGGAGCAAUUCACAUGUGUGGCACACAUCACUUCGGGGCUCUUCAGAAACAUCUCACAUCCUAUUGACAAGGGGACAAUCUGUAGCUAAUGAUACACUGAUAACGAGGCUCAUUCUGAGCCUGUAGAAUACAUACAGAUUGUAUUUGCAGGCUUUGUGUUAUCAUCAUAAAAGCCAGAAACUUCUCUUGUGUUUAAUGAAAGAUGAAUGAUUUUUGCCUAUUUCUGUGCCUGUAGAAAGCCCAGUGGAGGUUGUGGUUAUGAUUUAUGGCAUUGGAGCAGAACGUGUGUGCAAAUAGAAAUCAUUGUGUUGUUUCCUAUAAUUCAGUGUUGAUUCCUAUAACUCAUGUUAACUAAGGGAUUAGAAGUUGUGUCAAUUCAAAGCUUUAUCUAUUUCUGGGUUAGAACUUGGGCUGCUGGCAACCCUGUGCUGUUACCGUACUUGGACCCCACUGAAAGUUCCUGAUUCAGAAAAUGUUUGAACUGGUGAAAGCUCCUGAAUUGUCUGACUGGUGUGUAUCAGCUGAGGUAUCAACCUGUGUUCCAGAGUGCUGUGAUGAGUUUUUAUAUUCAAGAGGUCUGGAGUAUCCAGAUAUACAUCAGUGAGGGGGGGGGGGGGGGGGGGGGGGAAUAGUCCAGGGCAUGCAAUAGAUGCAUCAGGAUUUGUGCUCUCUGCUGAAUUGCCUCAGCAUGGAGAGCAGCAGUGCAUCUGGAAGGGCUGGAAAUAUGUGUGUGUAUGGUACAGAGGGGGCUGUGAUACUGCGGCGUUCACAGCUGGGCAGCAUGGGCUCUGAAUUUCAGAGAUUAAUUUGCACAGUUGCAUUUUGGGCCAUAUUUUCAAACUUGAGAAAGCUCAGCUUGGAUUCUGUUGUUAGAACAGCUUUGUGGAGGGACACAUAGCCCACGAGUACCUGAAUUUAGGUCUGGGGGGUGCCCAGCAAUCAGGAUCAGGCAUUUAGAGACCAGGCACCACGCCAUCCCAUCAGAGGAAAGAGACAGAACUGGUCAGAUGGCGUUUAAGAUACAAUUCAGUCUGAGAGCUAAAGGCUCUUGCAGGAUUUUCAGACCUUGAACAUAAGGCUUCUUUUUUUUUUCCAAUUGGAUUUCACGGUUGAAACGUGGUGUAAGAAUUGCGAGGCUAGGGAGCAAAUAGCUUUUUAUGGAGAUUUGAAUUACAUUUUACACUUGAAAAAUCAGUCUAAGCAGUGAGUGGAAGGGCCUGGCGCCCUGUCUGCGCCCCAGUCCUGCUGCUGGCAGCCUGCACAUGGAGCGCUGGGUGGGGAAGGGAAAGGGAGCGCCGUGGGGGGAUGGCUGCUUCUGCCUCUGAAGCCCUCCAUAGCAGCCACUGGCAGUUUGAGGGGACUGAGUGAUGGAUGGAGUGGUUGGCAGGCCGUGCCCAUGGCAGGGGUUGGAACUGGGUGCUCUUUGGGAUGCCCUCCACCAACCCAGGCUGUUCUGUGAGGUUAGCUUUCAUUUGCCCUCCAACAAGUGAUAGAGGGAGGAGGGGUGGUUGUUGCUUUCUGGAUGGCUGCCAUCAAUGCGGUAAGGUGUCAUUUGCUUGAGCUGAAGUCUCCUCUGCUGACAAAUACCACUGCCACUCCAGUAGAAUAUUUAAGGCCAUUGAUCCUUAGUAUUCAUCUGAUCAUGGUGACAUGGACCGUGUCCUCCUGUCUGUGAAAAUCCAGCAAUUCUCUGCAGGACUGCAGGUAGUCCUCAAAGCAUCUGCAGAGCUUCCCAUGGCGUGUGCUGAGAGGUGUAUCUUUGUUUGAUUCUGUGAUUAACAUCGACUGCACAGAAUUACAGCUUUCCAGCGCCAGCUCAAACACCGAGGAAUCCCUGCCACCAUAAAGCUAUAAUUGCUGAAUUAAUAACAGCGGGUUCUGGAGAGUGACUGCACAGACUCUCUGACCCAGGUUCAUAAAUAGUAACAUCCCUUUGUCCCGGAACAAGUUCCUAUCUUUUGUUUCUCUUUGUCAUUCCCCUCAAUCUCUGUCCUCUUGAGGCUGAAGGUAAUGGGCCCUUCCAUUUUGUGCGCACUGACUGAGUGAAGGCUGGGCCAUUGCCCCUUUGCUUUGAAGUCCACUGCAUUUGUGAUUUUUCUUUGAUCAUCGCUGUGGAAAAGCCUGAAAUGUUUUUCUCAGCAGUUUGUAUGCACACAAGCAUGAGAGCUGAGAACCUCAGUCAAGGUUUGUCUGAUGUCCCGAGUGCUGCCCGGGUGUUCCAUCGGCACCAACAGAGGCUGACUGAUGGGCUCCAGUUCAGACAUACGAAGGGUGGCAAGCAGAGGCAGCGUUCUGAGGUCCAUUUAAUUAAUCUGCAGACCGCAAGUCCCUCAGAACUGGAUGUCCUCAUCCCCAGGGCUGUCAGCCACACCAUGUCCUGUCCCUGCCGGCUGCACAGCAACAGUGGCGACACGGCUGCAUUGCUGGGGAGAUGGAAGCCCAACGUGUGUCAUCUCUGAGGCUGCUCGAGUUCCUCUUCAGCGCUUCGCAGGGGAAGACCAGAGAAAUAAUAAGGCUUUGUAUGAGUGAUAAGACUGUAUCGUGAUGGCUGUUCGCUUCCUAACAGAUGGGACAGAGAUGCAGGUAGGGUGGAGGGGCCACAAAGGCAACUGAUGGAGAAGUUUCUUUGGAGUCUGCUGUUCUUUUUUGCUUCAUUUAUAUUUCAUUAGGCAUGAAAUUACGUUUAUAAUUGUAUUAGACAACUGUGUGAGAUAUUAGAUCAUAAGCCUAGACUGAAUUAAAGCCAUUUUUAAUUAGUUAUUGAUUUAUUCUGUUUCGUCAUUUUUAAUGAAAUGAUGCCCCUGAAUUCAAAGCGCUGGUGCAGGUGUGUUAUCUUAAUUCAUAGAACUAGCACUCUGCUUACCUCCCAACCAACCAAGAGAAUGGAAGUGGCUGUUCUUCAACACAGUUGUUGUAUCAGCCACUGAUGUGCGUCUGCACAAGGGGGGGGUGAAGGAAAGAGACAGCGCACUCCAGAAGAGACAAGAGGAGGGAGCCCUGGGCUGCAGGCACACUGCUGGGAGGAGACAGGGCUGAGCAAAACCCA